rnacentral:sRNA from 1 species
GCAUGGCCCAGCCCUCCCUGCCCCGCUCAGACCGAGCUCUCAAGCUCCGAAGCUGCCUUCUCCUCUCCAAUCGCCAAGUUCCCAGAGGAAGAAGAUUGGCGUGUUCUUGCUGUCUUCCUGGGAAGGAACCGGAGUUACAAGGGAACCCAGGGAUGUCACUUCUAAAGGCAGUACCUAGCCAGAGAGACAUUUAGCCCAGAAGUGCCUCUUCCUUGUUCGUCACACAGGCUGGAGACACUGAUGUCUCCAUCCCAUCAAAGGAAAAGAUAUAUACAGACAGACAGACAGACAGACAGACACACACACACACACACACACACACACACACACGUGCAUACCCUCCAUAUGAAAGGACAAAUGUUACCAGGGACAGAGAAAGCUGACAGGGGUCUUAUAGUAAAACGGAACCUGGGCUAUGUGUGUCUGAUACUGCCUUGCCAUAUGGUGCCUUUUUAAGGCCUGUCCAAUCCCAGAUUACUUCUGUUUGCCACAAACUGGAAACACUCACCUACUGUCUUGGUAAAGAACUCGAGGUCACUCAGCUGGCAACAAAAGAGCCUAUUACAGCCUGGUGAGCAGCCUUGCUGAGAGGACCUGAUGUGGAUAUUUAACCUCUUCAUCUAGAAACCUUUCUCUCCUCAAUGGUCAUGGAGGAUUGAGCCUCCCAAGGCCUUAAUAGUAUCCGUGCGAGCUUUACACCAGAUGUAGUUUUCCUUUGGCGUCUCAAAUGGCUGCCAUUUUGGUGACUUCUGGAGCUGAGAUGCUGCCUGCUGGCUUCAACAGGGCUGGUGGUCCCUUCCCUAGCAUAUGGGAAGGGGCCUGCUGACAUAGCCCUGGCUUACUUUCCACUUGGGUAAUUACAUUCUGCAGACUUGCAAGUUUCCCACCAGGUCCAUCUUUUGGAACAGAAUGCCUUCUCUGUGCUGGGUUGCUGGCCUGCCCUCUGAGAUGGGAAUGGCCGAUGGAUUGCAUUUCAAGCUGCAGGAAGUGCAGAACCAGGUGCAAACGCUUUCUCCUACCAAGUGCAGCUUCUCGCCUCGGAAUGAGCUGUAGGCCAAACCUCCACUGUCCAGGAUGAACUGUGCCUGUAGCAAGCUGAACAGUGACUGACCCUCUGCUAAAAAUUGAAGGCGCGUCCCAGUCUGGGGUGAAACACUAGCGAUGAAAACGGUCUCUAAACCGUGGCAGAGAAAAAAGAAAGAAAGAAAAGAAAGCAAGCAUUGCCAGGCUCUGCUGCUGUCUCCGUGGGUCAUUCCCACUCCCAAGGAUUUCCGUGUCGGUUCUGAUCAAUCAGGAUGGUGGGAGGUGACCCAGUUUCACAGCAUCUGAAGCCAUUCCAUUUUUCUGUGAUACAAUUCCAUUGUGGGCCAAGCAGAAAGGUCCGGCAGAGAGACGCACACCUUCUCUUAAAAUGCCUUCUUCAGAGAAGUUGUUUCUCAGACAGGAGGAAAAAGAAAUCUGAAGCAUGUGUCCUGGGCUGAAACUCUCCCCUGGUUACCAACCUUCCCGAGCACAAGGUGGGAUGGUCUAAGAGUCUGACCUUUCGGGACUAAGAACAUGUAGAGCUGAGAAGGAAUUCAAACCAGUCUGUUUUUUUAAGCACUGGUGAUAUAACCUGUGAAACCCACAACACUGUAAAACUGGUAAUUUGUAAAUUCCUCGGUGGCACAGAAAACUAAUCUGGCAAAGAGAAAAACAGUGAAUGAUAUUCACUUUCUCCACAACUCUUUCCUUUGUUUACGAUCACAGCAAUGCCUUCUUUGAUAAGCAACUCAAAAAUCAAAGAAAAACCACCAGCCAGAGGAGACAAUAAGUCCAGUCAAAAGAGAUUUGGGACCUACCUUUAAUCCCUAAUAAUGGUCCAGAAAACCGUUUCCUUCUUGCUUUUAUAGUGUCUUCGACAAGUCCAGCGGAGGCACUAGCCGGGCAAGCAAUUUUAUGCUGGCCUCUUCAGAUAGCUUUGUGUAAUUUACAUUAUUUUUAAUUUCAGUAAUAGUAACUAGCGGGCUCAGGCAAUAAGCACUUUUUAACAAUGAAUAAAUAAAGAAACCUCUCAUAUUUCAAUUAAGUAAUGGAACGAAAUCAUAAUGAGAAUGGCUGUUUCAUUUUAGUCGGCUGUUGCCCAAAGAAUGUUCAUUAGACACGUUGCACUGUUAAUAUUUGUAAUGUUUGCACUAAUAUAAUUCAUAUUAUGGCGUUCACGGUAAUAUUGGGGAGUUUGGAGAACACUAAUCUCUCAUAGAGUGAGCCAUUGCACCAACACAGAAUCCUGUUUUCAUUGGACCAACAGGGUCACCCUUGGCUUGAAAAAAAUCGUUAUUUUUAAUCUGCGUGUAUUUGUCUGUGUAGGGUGUCUGUGCGCCACAGUGUGCAUGCGGAGGUCAGAAGACAGCCUCGGGUAUCAGUCCUUGCUUUCAGUCUUGUUGAGGAUGGUUCUCCGCCUGGACACUGCAGUGCGUGGCACCUUAGCUGGGCUGUGUCAUUCCGGGAUUCUCCUGUCUCUGUCUCUCCUCUCGUGUAGGAACACUGGGGCCGUACCACACAUGCAACCAAACUCAGCCUUGUGUGGAUUCUGGGGAUCCAAAGGCUCGCAGAGCAAACACAUUACCCACUGACCCCCCUCCCUAACCCUGCCUUUGCCUUCUUAAUUCUUGUCGUUUGAUAGAUGUGAGGGAACGAGGGCUGAGGGUUGAAGAGAUGCGGUUGGCCCCGUUUACUUAGACAUCUAAAAAAGUUAUCCAGCCUCUGCUCUGUUUUUAGGUUAUAUACCGGAGAAUGCAAGGUCAUGUGACUAAGGAUAUAUUUAGUUAGGUGGGAGUGUAUACAUACAUCAUUCUAGCCAAUAAUGGUACUGACGAAGCCAACUACUAUUUUUUUUCUCAGAUUAUAACACAUAGUGAUUAUUUAUGAAAACCUCCUGUAGCUCUUCUGGAUUAAAUGCAAGUUUCAGAACAUGUGUGUAUACUACACAGAGAGUGCUUACUCUGGUUCGAACGCAUUUGAAGUUGGUUGUGGCAGUACAUACUUUCUAUCCUAGCACUAUGGAUGCUGAGACAGAAGGGUGGCAAGUUCAAGGCGUGUGUGGGACACAUAGUGAGACUACAUCUUUUUAAAAGUUGCUUAUAUGGGGCUGGAGUGAUGGCUCAGCAAUUCAGAGCAUUUGUUGAUCUUUCAAAGGACCUGAGUUCAGAACCCAGUACCCACAGUGGUUCAGGGCUGUGGUUCCAGGGAAUCUGAUCUCCCCAUCCUGGCCUCAGGGUCACAUGUGGUCACAUACACACAUUCAGGCAAAUAUGAUUUUAAAUACAUUAUUUUAAAGCAAUAGUUAUUUUUACAUGACUCAUUGUUUGAAUUCAUUUCAAAGAGGCAAAAUAAUGUAUGAUUAUAUAUAAUUUUAAUAGCAUGAAUUCACCCUAUCUCUUUGGUCCACAAAUAUUUAUGAAUUUUAUAAUUUCAUGCACACUCCUUCCAGUUUGAGACUGUCUGAAAGAUGAUCCAUCCUGUCAUUUAAGACAUUAAAGCACUGUAUGGGGCUGGAGAGAUGGCUCAUUUGAUUAAGAGCACUGACUGCUCUUCCAGAGGUCCUGAGU